CCUACGGGUGGCAGCAGUGGGGAAUAUUGGGCAAUGGAGGAAACGCUGACCCAGCAAAGCCGCGUGAAUGAUGAAGGUUCUCGGAUUGUAAAGCUUCUUUUUUAGGGAAGAAGAAAGAUACGCUACCUUAUGAAUAAGUGUAGGCUAAGUACGAGCAACGACUCGCGCCAAUACGGAGGACGCGAGCGUUAGCCGGAUGGACUGGGCGUAAAGGGUGCGUAGGUGGUUUGAGAAGUUAGUAGGGAAACUCCGGGGUUCAACCUCGGCACUGCUUCCAAAACUGUCGGACUUGAGUGCAGGAGAGGCAAGUGGAAUUCCUAGUGUAGCGGUGGAAUGCAUAGAUAUUAGGAAGAACACCAGUGGCGAAGGCGAUUUACUGGACUGUAACUGACACUGAGGCACGAAAGCGUGGGGAGCAAACAGGAUUAGAUACCCGAGUAGUC
rnacentral:rRNA from 1 species